rnacentral:misc_RNA from 1 species
AAAAAAAAAAACAAACUUGGCUUUUCUUUUGCCUUUAUCUUGGCGUGGGCUCUGUUUACUAGAGGAAAAAUUGCCUCUUCUAUGGUUUCUUGAGAACCCUAAGGCGUGAAGCUGCAGUUCUGUAGCUGAUCGAUGGUUUGUGAGACCCUAUGCUGUACAGACGGGCGCCCUGGUUUUAGACCGACAUGGCAAUAUGAGAAGUCUUACGGUGGCUCUUUCUCUCUGCUCUCACUACUGGCACUUUUAUCAGAGCUGUGUUUAG